rnacentral:lncRNA from 1 species
AAUUUACACAUUUUAUUAAAAGAACAAAAACAACAUAGAAACAGCGUACUAAAAUGAAAUGCAUAACGCACACUUCUAAACACGAACAAGCAGUACAGCACAAUAACUUGGAAGAAAACCAAAAAAAAAUCAAAGCAUCUGCCCUACUGAUAGCAGUUGAGGGAAUGAGCUAUUGCAUUUUUGAGGCAAAAAAUUAUGAGAACAGUUUAUAUUUGUUAAAUAUUAUGAUUAUUUAAAUCUAUAAUUGUUGCACAGGGAUAAUAAUUUUUCAUAAGUAUUUUUAAUUGGCGUUUUUCUGCCCAAAAUAUGUGCUUCCAUUUUCUACAUUACACCAGAUUGUUGUUGUGUGAAUGCAUAAAGUUAAAAAAGAGUCAAUUUAGGAGCAACUUUCUUUCCAAUUUUUACAAAACUUAUAAUUUGGGGGCAUGUAACAAAUGGUUCAUUUUCUAAUAAUUAAAGCAGCAACAAUAAUCAAAGAAAUUUAUUUUGCAAAGGGCAACCCCACAAUCCAAUUAUAUCAUUGGUCACAUAAUUCUCUCAACUGCUAGACACAAAAGACAUAGCAAUACAACAAUUUGGCUUCCAUCAUUAACAAGUAGCAUCUGCAUACAGAAAUAAAGCUUUCGAAUCAUGCAGUUUUAUGACAGAUAAAGCCUUAGGUUGUGUGUCUGGGGAGAAAAGAGCAGUGCUUAAAGUUGGGUUACUUUAAGGUCUUAUUACAGAAGGUUUUUGUUUUUUAAAAAAUCAAAUAUGAUGUAGCUGUGAGUUAUUUCACAGUGAUACAUUUUUUUUUUCCCUUUUAAGUUUACUAUAAUUGAGGAUGGGUUCUAUUUAAAGAUAAAAUUCCUCUGGAAUCAUCCUGCUUUGGAGUAUUGAUGUGUGGUUCUCUUCCAUGCAAAACAAGUGGAGAGGCUGGAAACUGUAUGGAUUAGUCAAACUAAAUUCUUUCUGGGGCUUAAUAAGAGAGGUCUUUUCAGUCUCUUAUUUUACUUCCUUAAAACGCAGCAUUGUGUUUAAGCUCCAAAGAGUGUGACCCAGGGGCUGUCAUGCCACCCAUUAAUUGGCUAUCUUUUGUGAUGCUUCUUAGAUUCAUUCUUACUAUUUUAUAGUUGAUUCUUCCAGACUUAAAAUCUUACUAUAUUUCUAUCGACCUUAUGAAAAUACAUUUGCGUGGCUUAUAGAUUCGCAAAGACAUUUCAACACAAGAACAUGGGUUAAGCUGGGAGGAUAGGUCGGCGAGAAGGUGAAAGUCGGAGUCCCUAACUGCAGAAUGAAUGUGCAUCCCCAGUUUAGGUCGUUCCUUGGAAAUGCCGGUCAGCCGGUCCGGCUGUUAGCUGUACGGCUGAUUCGAAGUGACUGUGGUUUGAAGGGGAGAAAAAAAUAAAGGAAUUUCUAACCAACUAGCCCUGAGCUAUUGGACAACUGUAAGGCUUAAACCGCUUUCUGGCUUUGGCUUAUUUUCCCGUCUCUGCGAGUGAGAAGCAGCAACACGCGCAGCGAUGCUGAGACCGAUUCCCUCCACCCGGAGGGCGAGGGCGACAGGGCUCCGGGUGGAAGGACUCAAGUCCCUGCGGUGAUCGGUGAUCGAUCCUCACACCCUCACACCUUGCCAACCUCGACCUUCCCCAGGCCUCGUUGCCUGGAGGCAACAAAAAGAUACACGGUGAGCUAUUGGUGACCUGGGAGCUGAAACUGGCAGAGAUGGUGUGACUGAAACAGUCUUUUCUGGCUCCGAUGUACCCAAGAUUGUGGCAGUCUCUUCUGUUGAGUCGAAACAGUGGGAGGCUGAAGCGACACAGUGAAGCACUGUCUCAUCUGGUCAAGGCAAGGCCGAAAACAGCUUCCGCUGAACAGGUAUAAAGUGAAUAGGGCCAUUUAUAAAAUUGUGCCAGGAGCCUUCUUCCCUCUAUUGAAGGGAAUGAAAUGCUCCGGGCUGGUCAUACGUAACUGUUCAAUCACAUCUUUUAGUGGUUGCCAAUUCGGUCUUGGCAACUAGUGAAAAAAGAAAACCUCCACCAGAAACCUGCUGUGUGUGUGUGUGUGUGUGUGUGUGUUUGCAGUGAGGAUUAAAAUAUGAAUUAAUUUGAUCUUGUAUGAAAGUAUUAAUUGAAUGCUUUUGCCACUCGUUAACCCUCAUUUGGAUAGAUUUGUAGAAGAGAAUUUUUGAAGCUAUAGCUAUGCCAUUUGAAUAGAAUAAUUUUGAGUAAGAGAAUUUUUGAAGCUAUAGCUAUGCCAUUUGAAUAGAAUAAUUGUGAAUAAGUUAUACAAAGAGAUCAGGACGUUUGCUAAGUACGACUGUGUUUGGCGUCGAAAUACUGUGGAAUAACCCUAUAUCUACACAACAAAUUCUACCAGCUGGAAAGCCUGAUUCUAGAAUCCAAGUGUUGUAAACUUUUUGCUCAAAAAGUCACACGAGGACACAAAUUCAGCUUUCACAUGGGAAUUUGGGAUUUAAAAGAAAAACCAACCACUUCUGUUUUCUGAGCUGUAUCUGCUACAUGCUCACACUGUCAAAAACCACACACAGUUUACAAGUAAAAUCUUCACACACAAAAAAAUGUCUAAAGGUAGCCAUGUUGUAGGUUUGUUGCUAAAGCAACGACUAGAUAUAAUUUGUUAAAAAUUAUUUGUAUAUAAAGUUAAGUUUGUUCUUAAACUGUGAACUGUAAGGAGUAGCUAUGAACUAUACUCUAUACCUUGUCAUGCUUCAGUGUCAGUUUAGGACCUAUCUAGGCAGGUUAAAUACAUGUAGUAAAAUUCUGAACUUUCUCGAACUCUCCUUCAAAAUUAAAUUCUUUAGUUACUUAAAGAUAUGAAAAAGGAAUAAAAUAAAAACCUUAAAAACUAACACAAACAAUGAAAACAUGGCAACAAUGCGUGCGUUGGUGCUCAGAACCUCUAUUUGUAAUGGUAUUUACAGUUUGAUUAGCUAUCAACGAAACUAGCAAAAAAAAAAAAAAGGGUGUUAUACUCUUUGACAUAGUGUUUAUUCUCUUGCCUUGGGCGGGGACCUGGUAGAAGAAAAAAAUUGGGCCACGAGCUUCCUAAUUCCCUAACAGAACUGGGAAAUUCUAUUUCCCUCGACAUAUUUCCCUAUUUCUCUUUCGAUGGGUGUGAAAUGUUGAAGAGGUUAAAGGAAGAUUCCGGUUUCUGUUCAUUCUGUGCAUCACAGACGGCCCUACAGACGAAAAUAACUUGAAAACCUGUGGCUGCCUUUUACCCAAGUGCAUCCUCGGCUGCUCGCCCAAGGAGUGGGGGAAGGGCCAAAUAACACUCCGAGGGGCCCAGGGCCCCUCCCCACAGGUUCCUUCAAACCAUUUAAGGCCGAUGCAAUGUUGUCUUUACUCAGCCACCACUGUGCUUACUGGUCGUGCUGUGAAACAGAGAUUCAUGUUGUACAGAUCAUCAAGAUUAAAGUUAUUUGGUUCCUGCCGAUGGUAUGGGAAGGGGGUACUUACUCUUCCCAAACUGCAGAGCUGGUGAGCUGAGGCUGCCCGUUCGUGAACACAGCCUCGGGGUGGGGGACAACACUUAGGGCAAGAUCAAAGUGCUUUAGCAUGUUCGAAACGGAUGGAAAAGACUGAUGGCUUAGGGAGAAGGUGGCUUUUCACAUCACGAUUAAACUACAAAUUAAAGACUCUAAUCUAGACAGGUGAAAUGAAAUGCAACAGCUAGUUGAGGAAUCAUGCUCCAAUUGCAAAAGCAAAUACUGUCUUUAAAAUAGCGCUUUUAUGAAUCCAUUGAAUUUAAAUCUUACUCCCCCUUUAAAAUAUACUUAUGGUCACGGAGUACUUUAAAUUUUUUUGGACACCACUAAAACCCUCUUAAAAUGAAACGUUUAGGUUAUUUUGUCUGUAUACAUGACCCGUCUUAUCCAAGUUUCAGCACACUUGCGUAUUUUUGCAAAUGGCUGAGAGAAAUGGACAAAACCAAUCGUUUUGGAUAAAUAAAAAUAGAGGCCCUGGUAAAUUACAAAGCUUAUAAAACGUUAACUAAGAAUCACAAGUGAUUAGAAUUUUAUAUAUACAAUUAAUCCAGUAAAUUGUUGUUUAGAGUCACUGAUUAGUUUUGUGACUUGUCUUUUUCACUGGAAAUUUAUAGUCUAAUGACUUAUCUUUUCUUGAAUAAAGAUAACUCAAAUAAGUCAUUGCACAACUCGUUACAAGAGUGCUAUCUUAAAACUGCAUUUCUGUCAAAAUUCUUUUGCAUUGGCUCAAAACUUUAGUGCUUUGAGUUUUCUUUCUUUAAAUUCAUAAAGCAACUUUUCAAAUGCCAGCAAUAUCAAAAUUGUGGCACCAAAAAUACAACUACCCUGAAUAUCUCCUACUGAACCUCUUCCCAAAAAACAAAAAACAAACAAACAAACAAACAAAAAAACACCACAUCGCUAUUCAUGUCUUCCAGUGCUUAAAGCAACAUGCAAACAGCUGUACUCUAGGUUUAUUGUCCACGUGCAUCUUUGUCAGAAGUUUAAAACGUUAAAUGAGACAAUAUGUUGCCUCAAAAUGGCAAACAACACAAAAAAAGUUCAUUUUGUGCUGAAAAUGUCUCUCUUUUAAGGAAUAUACCUAGAGUAGGGCAGGCGCAUCGUUCCUGUAUUCAGGUGAUCAAAUUUGCCCUUCUGGAGAGGCACUGGCACAGGUUUUUACAAAACUCAGUUCUAAACACAAGUAAUUUCACAAAGGCAUACUCUACUUUCUUCUCUAGCCAGGUUACCAUUUUGGGGAACAGAAAUUAAGUGGUUCAAGUCAGACACCUCUUGUUCUCUGACUCCAGGCAAUACUGUUAGCAGAUGACAACGGCUCAAUACAAAAGCAAGAUCAUUUAGCAAGCGCUGCUGAUCGAGAUUUGGAUGGGUAAUUAAGAUCAACAGGAUAUCAGCUACCUAAGAGCUAAUUUUGCUCUUUUGGAUUCUGAGCCAAAACGAUCUGCUUUGGGAUGGAGUCGCAGGUGUUCUGAAGCACAAAGAACACGAAACAGAGGAACGACCAGGGGUCAGGAGUCCGGGCUCAAACGUUAGCUACCAGGUAGCCAGGUGGCCCUGGGCAAGUCACAUGCCCUGGCCAUGAAAAGGUUUGGCUGACUCCAUUGUUCUACCAUUCAAACACUACCAGCCGGCUUAAGGUAUCCUAAAUUAGAUUUUCCCUUUGCUUGUCAUUUUCGUGAAGGAGAAAAAGAAUCUUGUUAGACACAUCAAAUGUGAUGAUGUUAUACGUCCCAGUGAGAGAACAUACUUAGUGGAAAAUAUUAAAUCUGUCUAAACGGAUGCAAAAUAUCACAUGGUUCCACCCCUGAUUAAUAACAGUAACUUUAAUAACUGAGUGGGAUGGAGGGGGUAUGUCACAUACCGUAGGAGUUAAUUACUAUUUGACUUGGUUAUACAGUUAUCUCCUAAGCCUUAGUCAUGUAAAUUGAGUUCAGCUCUGGAGUGUAGCCACCAUCUCAUCCAAAGGGUGCUAAAAACCUCUCUGGUCCUCUCUAUUAUAAUUUUCAAAACAUCCAAAGACAAAGAAAGCCAAACAAAAAAGAGGCUUGGUUAGGAGAGAGCCUGUCGUCCGCAACGUUUGCGAAGGGCAACACUUGAGCCCAGAUCACAGGCACUG